GCAGCCCUCCCCCCGCCGAUAAGCACGUGGACAACCCUCCACACACGCGCCGCGCGGGGAAAAAUACGCGCAGGGCUCAGGGGGAGGGCCCAGGGGUCCAAGUUGCUGAGUGGACCACCCGAAGCCUCGGCCCGCCCUUCUACUACUUCUGUGCCUAUUUCUUUUUGUUGUUAGCUUCAGGAUCAACGUCACAGGAUGUCCGGAACUUGUGGUCAUAGCUGCGGUGCUUUGCAACCUGCCUCUGUGCUCCGUCGCUCGGCGAUGGUCAGCGGCCGUUCCGGACCGCUUUCUUCAAGAUAGCGUCGUUGAUCUUCAACUAAACUCGUUCUCUCCACUCUAUCUCUACUUUUUUUCUUUUUUAUGGACACAGGUUGCCGCCAACGCACAGCUGGCCUGAACACGAGUUAGACGCUCCCCAAUUACGAUUAGACGAUUAAUUAAUCGUGUUUAAGGCUAGUUGUGCGCUGGCGGCAGUCUGUGUCUAGUCCAAGGUGUGUAAUCUAACACCCAGUGUACAUGCUUUUUGUUUUUUAUUUAUUUCAAGCAUCACUUGAAUUGUAUUAUUAUUAUUAAUGUUAUUAUCAUUAUUCAGACAGUUACCGCAAACUUUGGCACAUAGGAUAGUUGUUUUACUGUUACUGAUACAUUUUUCCCUGUGUAUAUGCAUUUGAACCUAGGACGCAAAUCGUUAUCCUGCAUUUUAACGAAAAUGCUGACCGCCCACUUGCACGUCGAAAGGAUGGUAGCCUGAUGUACAGGAGAAAGCUAGUUAAGACGAAAAAGGCCACGGAAGUGGUUUCUACAAUGAAGACAAAAGCAACCCAUAAUGGGUUUGGCUUUAGUAUACAGAGUGUAGGGGAGAGAUUUUGGCAUGACCAUAUUUCCUUUUCUUGGCAGAGUAUGUAGACCAUCUUUUGAGGGAAGCACUGACAACUUGCCAAGAUGUGAGCUACAGUGAAAUGGUAGCAGCCUGCAAAAGCCCUGAGCCUGCACCAAUGAGUGCACAGUACGAACGGCAACCAAAGGAGGUCUUGAUUGCCAGAAGAAUGCUGCAGUUCCCAACAGAGUGAGCUGACUGCUGCCGUGACAUGUGCCUCUAACUGGAACUUAGCCUGAUUGAGAGAAAAAGACCCUGCAUCCAUGAGACUGAGCUGACUGCUGCCGUGACAUGUGCCUCUAACUGGAACUUAGCCUCAUUGAGAGAAAAAGCCCCUGCAUCCAUGAGAGUGAGCUGACCGCUCCCAUGACGCAAGCUUCAGCAGUGAAAUGAAGCCUACUUGCAAAUACUUGAUUGCCCACAAUGACCUGCCUUCGUUUCAAAUAUAAGUGGGAAGUACCAAUAACUACACACAAAGUGCAGUCGGCUGAUACUGUAUAUGGAUGUGUACAUCAUAACUUGCUUUGUUGACUAACUUGUUUGGCGGCAGACGCAGUCACAUGUAGAUGCAGUCAUUUGUACCGAACAGGUACAACCUGAUAGUUCAGUUAGUACCUGUUAGUUUGAGUGACUGAGCCUGAUUUCUCCCUGAAUUUACCGUACUGGAAGUCCUUCCACUCAAAUUUGCUUAAAUUUAGAGCACAUGUUUAUUUAUUCUCUUUUUACUCCACAAACGUAGAAAAAAAAUCCCGAAAGCUUUACGCUGUAUUCAUAGCCCCAAAAGCUCCAUAAAAUGUGAAGCAAAUGAAGCCCUGUGCCAUUUCAGCCCGCAUGCAGGCCUAGUCUCCAUCGCGGAAAUUUUACAGGAUGGGAUAUGACACUGGCCAUCAGGGAGUGUUUGGCCAUCCUUGUAGGCUCUUCAUUUGAGGUACCCCUGUUACUUUGCACUGCUCGAUAUCUAACCCUCUGAUUGAAGAUGCUGCUGUCCUUAGAACUGCUGAGAUACAUUUGCCUUGGUGAUUCUUCACUCUCGGAAAAACAACGAAUAGUAAAAGUAAGAAAACGUUCGAUUCUUGACCGCUAUUUUACGUGUCAUCACCUUACGCUUGGGGCGAUGACGGAUACUAAGGGUUAAGAAUGGUUCUUUUUCAUACUCUUAUUUUAAGCGGCAACGGCUGACGGUUACGCCAUCCGUCAAAUGUUUACUCUUAUAUUAUCGCCUAUUGCAGCACGUAUACCGUAUAGCAUGAGUAAACGAAAAAGCUCUGUAGCUAUCAACGGUGCAAGGUGCCCUCCCUUCGUCCCCCAAAGGCAACAUCGUGCUCCUCUUGCGCUCGCAUCCGCUGCAGCUCCAACAAAGAAGAACGACCUCCGAAGAAGGAACGUUUGUUGCCGCCUCAUGCGUUCCAUCUUGGUUAUGAAAUCGACAAUUGCAUCAGGGCAAUUAGACGAACCGAUGCAACAGCUGCACCUAUAUAUUUGAUAAUGAAAAGCAUCAUUAAUGAAAUUGAAGACUCAUUCAAGACUCCGUGAAUUGAAGGGUAACUCACCUACAAGACCGUUGUCUGCUGGUGGGUGGCCACACAUGAAACACCAGCCAGGGGGGCAUUUAGCAUAGGCAAACGCGUCUACAGCAGCCCGCAGGUAUCCCGAACAGUCGCAGUUUUGACAGCGUCCUCGCAGCUGACCCACUAAAUACGUUGAUGUUGUUUGUACUAUCUCUCCACUGGCGCUUGUACAACCAUCACCUGUGCUCUGUAUAACAACGAGGGGCAUUCACACCGAAUAAAACAUGAAAUCGGUAGGGCUCACCCACGUGGUGGUGCGAAAAGUUUGCAACACUCACCUCCUGAACGCGCUCUACUUCACGACAGAUGCACGUGCUUCCCGCCGCUCUUGAAGUCCAGGCUGGGCAGUCUAAACGUGAAACGGCACGACACAACGGAGUGGCCCUAGUGUCCAUUUGAUAAACAUCGUCGAGCGGCCGCGAGCAGAGUACACACCUGAGGGACCGCAGCCGAAAACUUUGGGUUGCUCGAAACGCGGAAGAUCCAAUCGAGAAAGCCUGCGCCUAAACUGUGCACGCACACGCAGACUUUCUUGUUUUUUUUUGCAAGGUUAACCAAGAAUAAGCGUAAAAGCAGUGAGUCAUGAGUUCGAGAUUAGUUUAUCCGUCAAGGGGAAAUUCUAUGCGUCAAUUUCUAAGGAGAAAUGCAGAAAUGACGGUGAAAACAAGUGCCUUAACAGAUACAGUGCGGGGAUUAACGGAUACUACAAGCAAAAUACAUGAUAACGGAUAGGGCAGUGGGCGUCGUCGUCGCAUAUUACGGUUACUAAGAGUAAAACACGGGGUAAGAGUUGCUUUUCCGAGUGUGUUCUGGUGGCCAGGCUCCAGCAUGGUGUGCCAACAACCACGCCAUACACUGUAUGCAACGGGAUAGGAUGACAAAAGCGAAGGAUAAGUAGCCUAUAUGAAGUCCGUGGCCUAUGGCAUGGCCACACGGCUGCGAACAGGUGUGUCACAUGCCAAACGUUUUCCUAACAUACUUCUCUUUCUUUUUGGCAGGGCAUUCAUGAGUGCAGAAGUAAUAUUGUCACGAAGCGAAAUGGGUCGGCGAGUCGUCGAAUAAACAGCGAACGGUUUAUUAGACUACUUGGUAGCAAAACACAAGAGUGAAAGCUCUCUGAACACAACUGAGUCCAAAGAAUGAAUGCUCCAGCUUGGAGCGCACAAGCAUUUAAGCGUCGUGCCGAAAAGUCUAGAAACAGCACGUGCGUUUGCCAGAGAGCAGGCGAUGUGUCUGGAAGCUUCUUGCUUCUUCUUCAGCAUGCGCCGGGAUGAGAUGUACCGUUUCGUGCCUGCCCUGGAAGUUUCUCGAUGAUGACUCGUGGCAAUAUGAAGAUGCAGCUGUUGAAAGUCAAAUUUAUUCUGCCUUUGUAGCUGUACAAAUCUACAUAGGAAUUCGACAGCUAUUAAGGAAAUCAUGAAAAAUUUAAUAUUAGAAAUAGAGAAAGGGUUACAAAGAUGAAUGUGCGCAAAGAAGGUGUACAGUUUUUCCUUAUAUGCUUGUGGAGCCAAUGAUGACAGGGAUGCGUCUGAAGAGAAGCCUGUGUUGAUGUCACUGGCAUGUCCCAACCUGAGGGUCUUCUUAUACUCAUAAAUAAGUCAUGGACUAACGUGAUGUCUGACAGGCAAGAGGAUACUCCAGUAGAGCUUAUGGACUGGGACAUGUUUGUAGCACACAUCUAUGUACUGAAAAGGAAAACAUCAUGCAUUCAUUUGUUAUUAAUCGGUAUAGUAUAUCGGUAUCGUCAUCACCAUGACGGUACCACUGAUCUCGAUUGGAUCAGUGGACGGUACAGCCCAGCGCGAGCUGAAUAAACACUUUGUCUUCGUCUGGUGCACUUCUUGAGAAGUGUCCUUCGUCCCACGUUUCGAACGCCGAUAUCAUAGAAGGCCUGCGAGCUCCAGCAGGACUGAGCUUCGCAGGCAACGUCGCAGAGAACUGGCGACGCUUCAAGCAAAGGCUCCAACUGUUUAUGACCGCCACUGAGCGUCCACAACAGCCGGGAGCAGCAAAAUCAUCGGGACGCUCUGACUCUCAAAAGGUAGCGUUGCUUCUUCACGUAGCGGAAGAAGAGGCACAAGAAGUGUAUCAAACUUUUGACCUUCCGGAAGGCACACCAUUUAACGAGGCGCUCCAGAAGUUCGAGGAUUAUUGCAUACCCAAGAAGAAUGAGACCUACGAAAGGUAUAAGUUGAGGAUACGAAUGCAGGAGGAGGGUGAGACUUUCGAAGCUUUCUAUCGCGAUUUACGCAUUCAAGUAAAGUCAUGUGAAUUUGCAGACCGUUGGAAGAUUGAAUGAUCCGAGAUCAAAUUGUUUAUGGAAUUACAAACAAGAAACUGCACCAACGGCUCCUCAGAGAGACUGACUUAACCAUGGAUAAGGCAGUUACUAUGUGCCGAGCGAGUGACAUAGAGACACUUCGCAGCCUCACGUUCGAAGAAAAAGAGAAGGGGGUUGACAAGGUAAAUACAGCGCGGAACUCGACCCGAGAACAACACAGUGACCGGGGUGCGGAUCGUCGGUGCGGGAUCUGCAACUUCGUUCAUCGUCGUGGCACCUGCCCUGUUUUUGGAAAGAUUUGUCGACGUUGCCAGAAGUACAACCACUUUGCUUCCUGCUGCCGAGCAGCAGUGAAUGACAUAAGUGCCGCACCUGUUGAGGACAGCAUAGAGGAGUUUUCCGUCCUCGAGAUCGGCAGCUGCACAUCGCAAGGGCCAGACUGGAUCAUCUCAGCACAUGUAUCCGGACAUCCUGUUUCCUUUAAGGUUGACACCGGAGCACAGGCUAAUUUGCUGCCGAGAUCCUGGGUGCAGCGAAAUGUGAGCAGCGCCGAAGUUCGGCAUACCAGCGCGCGACUACGAAGUUACAGCGGAGGAGUAAUCGCACACUGGUGGGGUCACUACGCUGCAGAUGGCAUAUACUGGGAAUACGGAUCCCGUGCAGUUCUUUGUUGUAAAAAAAACCCGUGCGCGGACACUAAUCCUCGGCCUCUCAGCAUGUGAACAAUUCAAACUCGUCAGCCGAGUUGGCGCUGUGCUUCAAAUGACUGACGAAGGAAGAAAGAUGUUGAACGACUUCCCCCGUGUUUUCCGGGGCCUAGGGUGCGUCAACCGAACGUACAAAAUGGAGCUUAAAGAAGGGACGGUUCCUGUGGUACAGCCAGCUCGUCGAAUACCGCAUGCUCUUCGACGACCAGUAGAACAGGAGCUUCACCGCCUGGUUGACGCCGGAAUCCUAAGGAAGGCCGACGGCCCAACUGACUGGGUUAGUCCAAUGGUCAUAGCACGAAAGAAGAACGGACAGCUGCGACUUUGCCUGGACCCGAGGCGCAUAAAUGAGCACUUAAAACGGGAACACUAUCAGUUACCAAAACGAGAGGACAUCCAAGCGGAACUUGCCGAUGCGCGGUUUUUUUCCACCUUAGACGCCAAUUCAGGAUAUCACGAGAUUCCCCUCGACGAAGAAACCGCCAAGAUUUGUACUAUGGGCACGCCGUUUGGACGAUAUUACUACCUCAGGCUCCCGUUUGGUAUAUCAUCAGCCCCCGAAGUUUUUCAGCAGACUAUGGCCAAUAUAUUUGAAGGACUACUCGGUGUUAGAGUACAUCGACGACAUUCUAGUCUGGGGUAAGACACAGCAGGAACACGACGAACGCUUACGCGUGGUACUGAUUCGGGCAGAGGAGCAGCACCUGACACUUAAUCUGGAAAAUGCAAAUUUUCCAGAACGGAAGUAGACUUUCUGGGUGACGUCAUCUCCAGCGAGGGGAUUAGACCCAGUCCGCAGCUCAUCAGCAGUGUACAAGAGUUUCCGCACCUAACUGACAAGAAACUACUAUAUCGAUUUCUAGGACUGAUAAACUACUUUGGAAAGUACAUACCAGACCUAGCUACAAAAACAGAACAACUGAGAACCCUGCUCUGGGAAGAGAGCAUUUUCGAAUGGAGCCGAGCGACUGAGGAAGAAUGGUCGCAUCUUAAGCAAGCACUCACUACGGCCCCUCUCCUAGCUCUGUUUGACCUACACAAGCCCACUAAGGUGGCCGCCGAUGCAUCGAGGGUAGGUCUGGGAGCAGCACUCUUUCAGAAACAUCAACAAGGAUGGCGUCCAGUGGCUCAUGCUUCUCGGGUACUGUCUGAAUCAGAAACCCGCUAUUCCCAGAUAGAAAAGGAAGCACUUGGAAUUGUAUUCGGCAUGGAAAAGUUCCACGACUUCGUCUACGGCAGACAGAUACUGGUGGAGAGGGAGACGGACCAUAGACCACGGUUAGCAAUUUCGAAGAAGGCCAUCAGCGAUAUGCCACCGAGACUCCAGCGUUUUUUCUUGCGCUUGAUGAGGUACGAUUUCCAGUUGCUUUACGUCCCGGGAAAAAACUUGAUCGUCCCCGACGUGCUAUCACGGGCCCAUGGAAAUAACUCAGAGUCCCCCAUGUAGCCUGCAAUGACGUCGAAGUCCAUGCUAUCGAGACUCGCAAGAGCCUUGUUAGUGAAGCAACAGCAGCACGAAUAGCCCUUGAAACUGCGAAGGACUCCACACUGCGUAACAUUAUGGAGCAACUGGAAAACCACCAACCCAUCAUGGGAGAGUUCAAGACAGCGCAGUCCGAAAUGACCGUGAUUGAUGGGCUUCUGUUCAAGGGCACGAAGGUUGUAAUACCGACAAGCAUGAGAUCAGAGAUGCUUCAGCGAAUUCAUGAUGGACACCUCGGUAUUAAUAAAUGCUUGACAAGGGCUCGCCAGCUGGUAUUUUGGCCCGGCCUCAGCGGAGACAAAGUCACUGAUCAAACGAUGUGCCACCUGCCAGGACUUCUCUUACCAGCAGGCCCAGGAGCCAUUAGUAAUGAGACAAGUACCCUCUCGUCCAUGGAAAAACGAAUUGGAGUCGACUUGUGCCAGUACGCCAGAAAGUCUUUUCUAGUUGCCUACGAUGCGUACUCGGAACUUCCCGGAAGUUCAACAGCUAGACAACACGAGUGCACACACAGUGGUGAAAAAAACUAGGAAGUAUAUUCGCACGGCACAGGAUUCCGUUGGAGGUGUGCACUGAUAAUGGCCCACAAUUCACAUCCCAAGACUUCCAUCAGCUGGCAAAGCUAUACGACUUCACGCACACAACGUCGAGCCCGUAUUUUCCAUGUUCAAACGGCUUGGCAGAAAAAGGAGUUCAAGUGGUUAAACGCAUUCUACAGAAAUCCAUGAGAAAUGGGGACGACUUUUGGCUCGGCCUACUAGCUUAUCGCGUGACGCCACUUGAAGACGGAAGAUGCCCGAGCGAAUUGUUAAUGGGACGUCGGUUGCGGUCCCGCGUACCUGUCUUUUCGCAGGACGUACCACCACCAGUGUGGAAAAGGACGCAUCCACACAAGCAAUCUCCGGCAUUAACGGCUCUACAGGAGGGGACACAGUCGGCGUACGCGAAGGUAAUCUCUGGGCCCUCAAGGCUAAGCUGCAGAGCCAAGUUGCCCCGCGGUCUUACAACGUGGUGACACAGGAUUACCAAGUUCUUCGCCGUAACCGCAGGCACCUACUGAAAACGAACGAGCCAUAUCUGCCGGACCCAGAGGGACCGGAAUGGGACGACGACUUUGGCGAAGGUCCGUCUGGCGCGGCUACAGCGCCAUCCGACAGUCGACAGUCGUCUCCUGCUCUACACCACACACCUUCAGCGCCAGCCUCGACCUCCACAGGACAGCGUCCCACUCGGCAGAGACGACAACCCAACAGGCUGUGUUAUGCUGAAACACACACACACACACACACACACACAGCUGAACAGUUGAUUGUGAAAAAAAAUAAGCAGUAUUCUUUUUUUUUUAUCGUUUGAGGGGAAGAUGUAUCGGGAUCGUCAUCACCAUGACGGUACAGCCCAGGGCGAGCUGAAUAAACACUUUGUCUUCGUCUGGUGCACGAUACAGGUGGGAAGUGGAGCUAUUGCAAAUUGAUAUACCUCCUGUGUCUGUUUCCUGUUAUCGUUCAUGUGUUCUUUCAAUAAAGCAAUGUUUACAUUCUUCGUUGUUUGUAGACUGUAUUUUACUGUGUAGUGGCUGUUGGGUUACUACAGUAGGGUGUGUGCCUGACCCGGUAUUGUGCGUCAAAGGGAUAGUGUUGUGAUCUUGCAGUUUUC